CAAGAUUUGUUUUCAAAAUAACUAAUGGUUGUGUGCCCUUGGGCAAGUUACUUGACCUCACUGAGCCUCCUGGGUAAAGUGGACAUGAAGUAAAAAGAAGCAUUCCUUUCUAAACUUUGUUCCGUGUGAUUAGACUUUAUUCAACUCUUACUCCUCCAACCCUUGGAGACUUUCUACUUUGGAUCAAUCCAGCUACAUAUUUUGAUGGACCUAGACUACAGAUCAGAAUGGACUUGAACAUGAUGGCAAAGGUCAACAACCUUUCCAGUCUUCUGGAAUGCAAGAUGAACUGGUAAGACUAUGGUGAACUGGCGAACACAUGUUCACCUAAAGGAGGAAGUUGCUACUCAGCUCCAAGUGAUCAUGUCACAUGGAAAUAAAAGAGAACGGGUGAUAUGAGAAUGGGUAGACUGAG
rnacentral:lncRNA from 1 species